AAACGGCUACUACAUCUACGGAAGGCAGCAGGCGCGUAAAUUACCCAAUCCUAAAUCGGGGAGGUAGUGACAAGAUAUAACAACGCGACCAAAAAUCGCGAUUGUAGUGAGGGUAUUCUAAACAUAGCUUCGAGUACGAUUGGAGGGCAGGUCUGGUGCCAGCAGCCGCGGUAAUUCCAGCUCCAAUAGCGUAUAUUAAAGUUGUUGCAGUUAAAAAGCUCGUAGUUGGACUUCAAGAAUCGCAUCUGGGCAACCAGCAUGCAUUCUACCAGCCCUAGGCUGUUACUGUGAGAAAAUUAGAGUGUUUCAAGCAGGCUAUUGCAGGAAUACAUUAGCAUGGAAUAACGAAUGUGUCUACAAUUUGGUUGAUUGUAGGUUACAAUUAAUAGGGACAGUUGGGGGCAUUAGUAUUUAAUAGUCAGAGGUGAAAUUCUUGGAUUUGUUAAAGACUAACGUAUGCGAAAGCAUUUGCCAAGGAUGUUUUCAUUAAUCAAGAACGAAAGAUAGGGGAUCAAAGACGAUCAGAUACCGUCGUAGUCCUAUCUAUAAACUAUGCCGACUAGGGAUUAGUGCGGUCAGUACCGCAUUAGUACCUUAUGAGAAAUCAAAGUCUUUGGGUUCUGGGGGGAGUAUGGUCGCAAGACUGAAACUUAAAGAAAUUGACGGAAGGGCACCACCAGGAGUGGAGCCUGCGGCUUAAUUUGACACAACACGGGGAAACUUACCAGGUCCGGACGCAGUGAGGAUUGACAGAUUGAUAGCUCUUUCUUGAUUCUGUGGGUGGUGGUGCAUGGCCGUUCUUAGUUGGUGGAGUGAUUUGUCUGGUUAAUUCCGAUAACGAACGAGACCUUAACCUGCUAAAUAGUUACGCCAAUUUUAUUGGUGUCGACUUCUUAGAGGGACUAUGUCACGUUGAGUGCAUGGAAGUUUGAGGCAAUAACAGGUCUGUGAUGCCCUUAUAUGUCCUGGGCUGCACGCGUGCUACACUGAUGCAUACAACAAGUUCCUAGCUCGAAAGGGUACGGCAAUCUCGAAUAUGCAUCGUGAUGGGGAUAGAUCUUUGCAAUUAUAGAUCUUGAACGAGGAAUUCCUAGUAAAUGUAAGUCAUCAUCUUACAUUGAUUAUGUCCCUGCCCUUUGUACACACCGCCCGUCGCUCCUACCGAUACCGGGUGUUGUGCUGAACCUAUUGGACCUGAAAAGGAAAGAUAUGUAAAGCUUAACACCUAGAGGAAGGAGAAGUCGUAACAAGGUUUCCGUAGGUGAACCUGCGGAAG
rnacentral:rRNA from 1 species